UGUCAAUGAACAAAUUCGGAUUGUAAGCUUAGAGUAUGUUAAGUUACAUUAUGAUUUGACUUGGGCAAUAUGGCAUGCUAUUUAAUCUCAGGUAAGACACUGGGGCAGUUCAAAGCUAGUGCUGCUUCAAUACCUGCUAAUAGCAGUUGAAACUCACUGCUCAUGUCUCAAUGGGGACUUGUUCAGACUCUCUCUUUUUGGGUUUUGGGAAGUUUUGGUGAAUGGGAAGAUGUGAAGUCCUCUCCAAAGGACAGGUUGCUGCAUUUGGUUCUUUGUUCACUUUCAAAGUUAAGAGAGCUCAAAAGGCUCAGCACAUUACUGCUCUUGUAGAGACAAUGGAGUCAGAGGCAGAGGGAGAGAACUGAUCAAAGUCUGGGAAGGUGCUUUUACAUGACAAAUCAAGUCCGAUCAGAACACUCAUGUCAUUACCAACAAUUAUUAUCAUGCUUUUUAAGGCUAGAGAUGCUCUGUACUUCUUAGGUUUUCAGACACAAAAUUCAUGAAUGUUGAGGCCUUAGACAAUAGUAUACGAACCUACUCUCUUUCUAUCUUCUACGAAAACUCUGAAAAUGUAGCUGGAAUCUGCAGAGAAGACAUGGAAAAAGUUAUCGGUACUGUAAAAGUUGCAAGUAGAUUGAUUUCACUAUCAUGUUUGUUUGUUUGUGUGUUUUAGGGCCAAUUAUAUAUUUAUUGAAUUAAUUUGUUGUCUCUGUACUUGUAUGUCCUUCAACAUCCUUGCAUACAUAUGGAUGAUGAAGUCAUUACAUGAACUAAAAUCACAAUGUGACCCUGUUUUAUAGUCAGGAUUGGCUGAAGAAUGGUGCCACAAACACUUUCUGCCUUGAGCUCUAGUACAAGUUAUCCAGAGGGAUCGGCUGCCUACCUCUGUUUCUUCACUGAGGAUUGAUGAUUAGUCUCCUUUGCUGAAGGAAAAGUGCUGCGAUGAGAAGAGGGGAAAAGAAUGGAGCAAGAUUUCUCACUUCCCAUCAUAUUAAUUGCUGAUGAUCAUAUGAAACUGAAAAUGUAGACAAAGUCCUCAUCACUUGUUUUCUUCAUUUACAUGCAGCAACAUAAUAUUACAGUUUGAAAUAACAUUUUAUUGACCAAUCGCAGGAAAAGGCUAUGUGGUCCAUUGCAGAAUAAGCUUGUUCAUUAUUUAGACAAGUAUUUAACUCUGGGAAUUUCAAAGGAUUAAUGCUCACUACCAACAAUUGCAGUUCAACUUUUAAAAUGUUCAUGGGAUUGGCAUGAGGAGGUACGGAUGGCUAUAUUUUUGGGAGCAAACUCCAAGAAAAUCUUAAGCGCAUGGAUACUAGUUAUGCCUUGGAAUGAAAGACAGUUCUGAAUCCACUUUGAUUUUUAUUAUUUUCUUUACUUUUCUUUCUCAAUUUAUUUUCAAGGGGUGCUGCACUAUUCUACACGUUUUUCAAACAACAAUAUGCUGUAAAUAGCCGUAUGAGAUUUCGGUUUGUGAUUUUGAAAAUUAUUACCAUGCUUUUAAAUUCCAGGAUGACUGAAACCAACCUACCCAACCUCCCUCCACUCAGACUGCACCCAAUACUUCUUCUACAGGUUGGCCCUGAGGGCUUGUGUUUACUUUUUUUCCAAACAAGACUCCCAAGAGCAAUGGCAAGAAUGGCCACAGGUGGUCCUCAUUUUUAACACUGAAAUUUGAUUAAAAGAACAUGUCCUUCAAGCCAGUCGAGACUCGUUGUUGGCUUGGUGAGAGAAGUGAGGUUAGGAAAUUAAGGAGAAAAAGUAUUUUUAAAGGAGUAUUAACAGUUGCGGCACUCCAAAGCUAACCUGAUUUGAUCUCAACAAGACUCAUUACUCCAGUGCCACCUAAGGCUCCAAUAAGUCCAUUACUGACAUGGUGUGAUCCAAAUUCUCAAUGUGCAUACCAUAUGCAAGGAAGGGGACAUUAGACUUAUGAUUGAUGUUACCUUAAACAUAAGAUUCAAGACCUCAUUGACCAGGACUUCUGGAGUCUGUAUGUUAGUCCCAUUAAUCAUCCGGAAAGAGAGGAUGCAAUACCACUUAAACAUUACAAGAGACAAUGACAUGAUCAAUAUUGAGAGCUAUGGCCAGCUAACCCUAUCUCCAAUAGCUUACGACAUUCACAAAAUUGUAGGCUUGCCACAUCAAUUGAAUGUUACAGUCAGACCCACUACGUGCAUGGAGUAUAUUGCUAUUGCACAACCAAGUUGUUUAUCAAAUACAGAAUUUCAUUUAACAGCCAGAUACAUGCCACAAAGACAAAGAUCGGCAUCAGUUUUCUUUUUUGUUGAUACUCGUGAAUCAUAUUCCUAAUCAUCACCUAUCCUUUUAAUUCUUUCUUUACAACACAUUGUCAAAGCCAAGAUCAAAAUGGCAUUAGCUCAUAUACUUUAAACCAUUGAGCUGAUUGUCAUUAUUAUAGAAAUAGAGAAGAGUUUGAGUUCAUCCUUUGUUGUUAGAAAAAUUUACUAGCCA